rnacentral:rRNA from 1 species
UACGGAGGGUGCAAGCGUUGUUCGGAAUCACUGGGCGUAAAGCGCGUGUAGGCGGCCUCCUAAGUCUGGUGUGAAAGCCCUUGGCUUAACUGAGGAAGUGCAUCCGAAACUGGCAGGCUAGAGUACUAAAGAGGGUCGCGGAAUUCCCGGUGUAGAGGUGAAAUUCGUAGAUAUCGGGAGGAACACCGGUGGCGAAGGCGGCGACCUGGGUAGAUACUGACGCUGAGGUGCGAAAGCGUGGGGAGCAAACAGG